CUAGAGAAUGUUGAUUUAUAUCAUGAAACUGAUUUGAAUAGGGCUGAGACCAUAAGAAGACAUCUGAGAGAUUCUGUUUAUCACAUUUGGAUAUUUUAUUGGGCUUCAUUUGCCAAAAAAAUCUUAAGUGGAGGUUCAUUGGGUCAUACAGCAUUCACUGUGAAAAAAUAUGGUAAUGUAUAUUCACAGAACUGCAGUCAUGGAGUUUACAGUGUUAAAGAUGUAAGUGUGGUAAUAGCAUUGAUUUUUUUUCUUUUUUAAACUUGUUAAAUAACAUGAACAUGUUUCUCUUUAAAAUGGAGUAAUGUGAUCAAGUCAGUGUAUUUGUAAUGGUUGGGGGAGAUCAGAGGAACUUGUUCGUGGCUCAUUAGUUAUUUUAGCCCAGCUGGGCAUUACUAAUGUUUAUGGUGGUUUUGAUUUUAAAGAGUUUGCAUUCUUAGUUAUGCAUUUUUAUUCCAUAAUGCACCGCUGAGCACAGAAAGGAAGUAUAAGAGAGUUACUGAUGAUGAAAUAAAUUGAGGAGCAUUAAUGUAGUUUAAAGCAAGUUGAUGUAGGAAUUUGAGGAGAAAAAUUAUAAGGGAACUCCACCCCAUGGAGAAGUGCAGUAGGAUUUGGGCAGCAACAUAUCCUGCUUGGGUUUUGGUGAUACAGUGACUAAGCAGAACUGUGGUGUGAUCCUGCCCCCCUGCCCCCAGCAUUUAGCUGCAGGUGGUGGUGGUCAGUCAGUCGUGUCUGACCCUGCAACCCCAUGGACUGUAGCACCCCAGGCUCCUCUGUCCAUGGAAUUCUCCAGGCAAGAAUACUGGAGUGGAGAGCCAUUUCCUUCUCCAGCGGAUCUUCCUGACCCAGGAAUCGAACCUGCAUCUCCCAUGUCUCCUGCAUUGGCAGGCGGGUAAUUUACCACCGAGCCACCAGGGAAUCCCAGCAUGUGUUCACUUUUAUAAAAGGUGACUUUUGCAGCUUCCCCAGCUUAAACUUUUUUUCUCCAGUUAGGACUUAAGCUUCAUUAACCAAAUUUUGGCCCAACCUGGUGUAUAGAACCUGAAUCCAGCGCUAACUGAUGGGUUAUCUCCAUGUCACCAGGGUCUGACCCUUCCCGGACAGGUAUUCUAUGUAUGGUCCUCACCUGAUCCCAUCCUUUCUUCUUCCUGUCCAGGGUUCUGUUGGCUUUUGCACUCCUGACAUUCCCUGACCCUGAGUCAGCUUACCACAAAAAAUUAGCCCCAAAAGCCAACCCCUCAGGGAAAAACAAAUGAAAAGUGUCCUGCUCUGUUUCACAGAGAAAGGCAUCUCUCACUCCCGGGUUAAAAUUCAGCAACAGAGUACAACUAAGAACAUUUUCUUUUUUCCACAAGAAAUGAAAUUUUUAAAAAAUGUGU
ensembl:lncRNA